AUUGAACGCUAGCGGGAUGCUUUACACAUGCAAGUCGAACGGAGUGGCGGACGGGUGAGCAGUAUAUCGGAACGCGCCUAGUAGCGGGGGAUAACUACUCGAAAGAGUGGCUACUACCGCAUAAUAAUAGAGCGGCCGAUAUCGGAUUAGCUAGUUGGGGGGGUAAAGGCUCACCAAGGACACGAUCCGUAGCUGGUCUGAGAGUACGACCAGCCAGCCUGGGACGGAGGCACGGCCCAGACGCCUGAGGGAGGCAGCAGUGGGGAAUUUUGGACAAUGGGGGAAACCCUGAUCCAGCCAUCCCGCGUGUAUGAUGAAGGCCUUCGGGUUGUAAAGUACUUUUGGCAGAGAAGCGGUAUCUGCAGAAUAAGCACCGGCUAACUACGUGCCAGCAGCCGCGGUAAUAC
rnacentral:rRNA from 1 species